rnacentral:rRNA from 1 species
AUACGAAGGGGGCUAGCGUUGCUCGGAAUUACUGGGCGUAAAGGGAGCGUAGGCGGACAUUUAAGUCAGGGGUGAAAUCCCGGGGCUCAACCUCGGAAUUGCCUUUGAUACUGGGUGUCUUGAGUGUGAGAGAGGUAUGUGGAACUCCGAGUGUAGAGGUGAAAUUCGUAGAUAUUCGGAAGAACACCAGUGGCGAAGGCGACAUACUGGCUCAUUACUGACGCUGAGGCUCGAAAGCGUGGGUAGCAAACAGGAUUAGAAACCCUAGUAGUCC